AUCCAGCUGACAAGUCCUGAAUAGUGCGAAACGCGCGUCCUGGAU
rfam:Schistosoma mansoni strain Puerto Rico chromosome 2, complete genome